GACGAACGCUGGCGGCGUGCUUAACACAUGCAAGUCUACGAGAACGAGGUAGCAAUAUCUUUAGUAAAGUGGCGCACGGGUGCGUAACACGUAAGCAAUCUACCUUUGGGUCUGGAAUAACUUCGAGAAAUCGAGGCUAAUACCGGAUAAUGCAGCGGCACCGCAUGGUGAUGUUGUUAAAGUUUGAGUAAUGCCUAUAGAUGAGCUUGCGUCUGAUUAGCUAGUUGGUAGGGUAAAGGCCUACCAAGGCAACGAUCAGUAGCUGGUCUGAGAGGAUGAUCAGCCACACUGGAACUGAGACACGGUCCAGACUCCUACGGGAGGCAGCAGUGAGGAAUAUUGGGCAAUGCCCGCAAGAGUGACCCAGCAACGCCGCGUGGAGGAUGAAGGCCGUAAGGUUGUAAACUCCUGUUAGAGGAGAAGAAUAGUGCCGAUUGGGUCGGUAUUUGACUGUACCCUCAGAGAAAGCCCCGGCUAACUACGUGCCAGCCGCCGCUGUAAGAC
rnacentral:rRNA from 1 species